CACCUAUCAAAGGAAGACUUCCCAACUCCCUCUCUGCAACUACCAGUCUUCUCUCCUUUCUCACCACCCAUUCUUCUCCCCAAUCUCUCCUCCUAUUAAUAUAUACUUCAGCCCAUCCACAGCACCACCCCAAGCUCCCCACACCCUCUUCCUUUUGCCUCCAACAAAUCGAAGAACUCGAAGCUCUCGACUCUGUUUUCCUUCUCCACAAAUGGCCGAUUUGGAUCGCUCCUCUGACGAUACCUCUGUGGAUUCUCGGGAGGAUACCAGCCAAGACUCUAAGCUGGAAUUUACAGAGGACGAGGAAACGCUUAUUGCUCGGAUGUACAGUCUGCUUGGAGACAGGUGGUCUCUGAUCGCUGGGAGAAUACCAGGAAGAACAGCGGAAGAGAUCGAGAAGUACUGGACUUCUAGGUACUCAACAAGUGAAUGAGAGAAUCUAUAUGGUGUUUUCUCUAUGAAAGCAAGCAAUUUUGGGGCGUAUUGAUGCAGAGUUUGGGCACGUAAUUCAGUUAGCUUGGCUAUAGAGACAUAUGAAGUUUCGGGUCUCAGCUGAUUUCUAGUUGAGGCAUUCAUGAAGCCUGUAUUUGUGCAAUUGCCUGUCUUAUGGGUGUGAUUUUUGAUGUUUGGAAACUUACUAGUUCAGUUUGGCUCUCAUGGGUAUUGAAAUAUCAAUCCCAUGAUGAGCUGAAGUGCAUGUAAAUAUGCUGGAUGUAGCUUACGAGCUAUCUUUUCUUGCAGUAUAGUUCUUGGUUUAAUUUUCUCCC